GUUGAGGGGAAUGUUGUCUGGCUCGAGGACUCGUAUGGAUUUAGAUCGAGAUCUUAUAAUGGUCGCCGGACCAGGCUUCAUUCCCCCCAAU
rnacentral:pre_miRNA from 1 species